rnacentral:rRNA from 1 species
UACGAAGGGGGCGAGCGUUGUUCGGUAUUACUGGGCGUAAAGGGCGCGUAGGCGGCCGAGCAAGUUAGAUGUGAAAGUCCUGGGCUUAACCUGGGGACUGCAUUUGAUACUGCUUGGCUUGAAUUCGGGAGAGGAUAGCGGAAUUCCCAGUGUAGAGGUGAAAUUCGUAGAUAUUGGGAAGAACACCGGUGGCGAAGGCGGCUAUCUGGACCGACAUUGACGCUGAGGCGCGAAAGCGUGGGGAGCAAACAGG